UCACAAAAAUCGCCUGGCAAGGCUUUUGCUGA
rnacentral:piRNA from 1 species